AUCACAUUGUUUUCCUCUGCUUUAUCGCGUCUUGUCCUCUACUUCAUCUCUGCUUACUCCUUGUGAGAUUGUGGGUGUGGGUGUGGGUGAGGAGCACACUUAUCAACAAGAAAACAACCUUAUUAAUAAAAAUAAUCCCUCUGAUUUUGGAGUUCAAGAAGCUUCUUUCAGAGAAAAUGUUUUGGACUUUGAAGCUAGAGAGAGGGGGGUCGCUUGCAUUGUCUAUAUCCUUGGUGGGCAGAUGCAACUGUGGAUUUUAUGAUUAGUAUGGGUUAUAAUGUUAAUACACAGAUACAACAGGCAUUUCAUUUCUCUUAUUGCAUGAUCAUUUUAACUUUCUGGUGCCUCAAAAGAUGGUCAAUAUAGCCCUGCAGCAACUUCUGAAGGUCUCCAACAAGGGAAAUUUAAUUGGUAAAGCAGAAGACACUUAUCAUAUGGGGUGAGGAUGACCAGAUCAUUAGUAACAAGCUUGCAAUGGUUAGUAAAUUUUAUGGAUAUGAAGCCUCAAAUGCAACAGAUAAGUAAUGGAAAACAUGCUUAGGAUUCAGGAUUUUUGUUUUGUUUUGUUUUGGGGAGGGGAGGGGGAUUUGAAUCUAUUUGACCUUCUUAGGAUUCAAUAUUCCACAUUAUGCAGAGACAGCACUGUGAACUACCAAAUGCAAUCAUAUGUGAAAUACCAUAUUGUGGACAUCUUCCUCAUGUCAAAAGGCCAAACUCAGUUGCUAAAUUGAUUUUGGAUUUUGUUCAAGAAUAUUUCUGUAAAGAGAUUGAAUGUGUUUCCCAAUAUUGAAGUCCACUUUCCAUCUGUGCUUAAAUGAUGUCAAGCUGGUCACCACAUUCAUUGUAUGGUAAGGUAAAUUUUUGUAAAUGUAAAAACUAUACAAUUUGCAUUCCAUUUUGCUUGAA